CUACGGGAGGCAGCAGUAGGGAAUCUUCCGCAAUGGACGAAAGUCUGACGGAGCAACGCCGCGUGAGCGAUGAAGGCCUUCGGGUUGUAAAGCUCUGUUGUUAGGGAAGAACAAGUAUCGGAGUAACUGUCGGUACCUUGACGGUACCUAACCAGAAAGCCACGGCUAACUACGUGCCAGCAGCCGCGGUAAUACGGAGGGUGCGAGCGUUAAUCGGAAUUACUGGGCGUAAAGCGCACGUAGGCGGUGAGUUAAGUCAGUUGUGAAAGCCCUGGGCUCAACCUGGGAACGGCAAUUGAUACUGACCGACUGGAGUGUACCAGAGGACCGUGGAAUUCCCGGUGUAGCGGUGAAAUGCGUAGAGAUCGGGAAGAACACCGAUGGCGAAGGCAGCGGUCUGGGUUAACACUGACGCUGAGGUGCGACAGCGUGGGGAGCAAACAGGAUUAGAUACCCUGGUAGUCCACGCCGUAAACGAUGAGUGCUAAGUGUUAGAGGGUUUCCGCCCUUUAGUGCUGAAGUUAACGCAUUAAGCACUCCGCCUGGGGAGUACGGCCGCAAGGCUGAAACUCAAAGGAAUUGACGG
rnacentral:rRNA from 1 species